rnacentral:rRNA from 1 species
UAAAGAAUUUCGGUUAUCGAUGGGGAUGCGUUCCAUUAGUUAGUUGGCGGGGUAACGGCCCACCAAGACGACGAUGGAUAGGGGUUCUGAGAGGAAGGUCCCCCGCAUUGGAACUGAGACACGGUCCAAACUCCUACGGGAGGCAGCAGUGGGGAAUAUUGGUCAAUGGACGAGAGUCUGAACCAGCCAAGUAGCGUGAAGGAUGACUGCCCUAUGGGUUGUAAACUUCUUUUAUAUGGGAAUAAAACAGGGUAUGCAUACCCUCUUGUAUGUACCAUAUGAAUAAGGAUCGGCUAACUCCGUGCCAGCAGCCGCGGUAAUACGGAGGAUCCGAGCGUUAUCCGGAUUUAUUGGGUUUAAAGGGAGCGUAGGUGGAUUGUUAAGUCAGUUGUGAAAGUUUGCGGCUCAACCGUAAAAUUGCAGUUGAAACUGGCAGUCUUGAGUACAGUAGAGGUGGGCGGAAUUCGUGGUGUAGCGGUGAAAUGCUUAGAUAUCACGAAGAACUCCGAUUGCGAAGGCAGCUCACUGGACUGCAACUGACACUGAUGCUCGAAAGUGUGGGUAUCAAACAGGAUUAGAUACCCUGGUAGUCCACACAGUAAACGAUGAAUACUCGCUGUUUGCGAUAUACGGUAA